GACGAACCGUGCGAACGUUGUUCGGAAUCACUGGGCGUAAAGGGCGCGUAGGCGGCUUUUCAAGUCAGGGGUGAAAUCCGGCAGCUCAACUGUCGAAGUGCCCUUGAUACUGAUGAGCUCGAGGGAGGUAGGGGUGUGUGGAACUUCCGGUGGAGCGGUGAAAUGCGUUGAUAUCGGAAGGAACGCCGGUGGCGAAAGCGACGCACUGGACCUCUUCUGACGCUGAGGCGCGAAAGCCAGGGGAGCAAACGGG
rnacentral:rRNA from 1 species